GCGGACUUAAAAUCCGUUGGCUUUUUAGACCGUGAGGGUUCAAGUCCCUCUACCCCCA
rnacentral:tRNA from 1 species